rnacentral:rRNA from 1 species
GACGAACGCUGGCGGCGUGCCUAAUACAUGCAAGUUGAGCGCUGAAGGUUGGUACUUGUACCCACUGGAUGAGCAGCGAACGGGUGAGUAACGCGUGGGGAAUCUGCCUUUGAGCGGGGGACAACAUUUGGAAACGAAUGCUAAUACCGCAUAAAAACUUUAAACACAAGUUUUAAGUUUGAAAGAUGCAAUUGCAUCACUCAAAGAUGAUCCCGCGUUGUAUUAGCUAGUUGGUGAGGUAAAGGCUCACCAAGGCGAUGAUACAUAGCCGACCUGAGAGGGUGAUCGGCCAAAUUGGGACGGAGACACGGCCCAAACUCCUACGGGAGGCAGCAGUAGGGAAUCUUCGGCAAUGGACGAAAGUCUGACCGAGCAACGCCGCGUGAGUGAAGAAGGUUGUCGGAUCGUAAAACUCUGUUGGUAGAGAAGAACGUUGGUGAGAGUGGAAAGCUCAUCAAGUGACGGUAACGACCCAGAAAGGGACGGCUAACUACGUG